rnacentral:rRNA from 1 species
AUUGAACGCUGGCGGCAGGCCUAACACAUGCAAGUCGAACGGUAACAGGAAGAAGCUUGCUUCUUUGCUGACGAGUGGCGGACGGGUGAGUAAUGUCUGGGAAACUGCCUGAUGGAGGGGGAUAACUACUGGAAACGGUAGCUAAUACCGCAUAACGUCGCAAGACCAAAGAGGGGGACCUUCGGGCCUCUUGCCAUCGGAUGUGCCCAGAUGGGAUUAGCUAGUAGGUGGGGUAACGGCUCACCUAGGCGACGAUCCCUAGCUGGUCUGAGAGGAUGACCGGCCACACUGGAACUGAGACACGGUCCAGACUCCUACGGGAGGCAGCAGUGGGGAAUAUUGCACAAUGGGCGCAAGCCUGAUGCAGCCAUGCCGCGUGUAUGAAGAAGGCCUUCGGGUUGUAAAGUACUUUCAGCGGGGAGGAAGGGAGUAAAGUUAAUACCUUUGCUCAUUGACGUUACCCGCAAAAGAAGCACCGGCUAACUCCGUG